rnacentral:lncRNA from 1 species
CCUUAGUAUUUCUAUUUUCUUUUCUACAACAGUAAACAUGGUAAAUUGGCCCCUUCAAGGCCCUUGUCUGAGGGAGGGUUGGUCCCAACCUGAUAAUAACAAACAUAGGUCACCAUACAUUAUAAUUGCGGUUGAAGGCAAAUCCUUCAGUAGUUCUUUGUACCUUAUUUUAACAACGAACAAUAAUUAUAAUUUGUAAAUAUUAUAAAAAGAUCUCAACAUUUGUUUUUAAAAUCACAGUUUAGCCUUUAUAUAACGAUUUAAAACCCAUCAGCACCCCACAACACUGUAAAUAUCUGCGAGAAUAUUUGUUUCAGCAUGAAAUCAAUUUAUUCCAAGCGGAAAUCAUAUGGUCUGUGAAGAGUUAACUUAUAUUGACCCAUCAUAAAAGGGAUAUUCAUAACAUUAAAGGGGUUGAUCUGAACCAGAUUAUGACUUGGAAGGAGAAUUGUCUCAUUGUCAGUCACACUUACAUAGACCAGAUUUAAUUAUUCAAUAAUUUCUUGUUGAAAUAACAAGAUUAUGACUUGGAAGGAGAAUUGUCUCAUUGUCAGUCACACUUACAUAGACCAGAUUUAAUUAUUCAAUUAUUUCUUGUUGAAAUUUUUGUAUAGGAGUAUAAUCCACUAUAAUUAAAUAUGUUUAAACUAAACUAACAAACAUAGGUCAAAGUACGGCCUUUUACACAGAGCUUUGAUCAAGGCCAACCAGCAAGCGAUAAGGGACCACAACUUAGUAUUGUACACAAUUCGAACAGGAAAACCAACGAUCUAAAUCAUAUUUGCAAACGGGAAAAUGCCAAUGAACCACAUCAACAAACGAUAACUGCUGAACGACAGGUCCCUGAAUCAACCAGAACAGGUGCACAAAACUGCAGCGGGUAUGACCGUCACCAUA